rnacentral:rRNA from 1 species
GGAGGGGACACCAAAGGCCUCCGCCCUUCCAUCACUUGGAUCGAUAGAGAGGGAGGGCAGAGCUUUUGGUUUUUUUUUCAUGUUGUCAAAGAGUUGAACAAUAAAAAUAGAUGGCGAGUACCUGAUCGAAUUGAUCGGGUCAUGUAGGAACAAGG